ACUCCUACGGGAGGCAGCAGUGGGGAAUAUUGCACAAUGGGGGAAACCCUGAUGCAGCCAUGCCGCGUGUGUGAAGAAGGCCUCGGUUGUAAGCACUUCUAGUAGGGAGGAAGGUAGUGUAGUUAACACCUGCAUUAUUUGUACGUUACCUACAGAAGAAGCACCGGCUAACUCCGUGCCAGCAGCCGCGGUAAUACGGAGGGGUGCGAGCGUUAAUCGGAAUUACUGGGCGUAAAGCGCAUGCAGGCGGCCUGUUAAGUCAGAUGUGAAAGCCCGGGGGCGUUAACCUCGGAAUUGCAUUUGAAACUGGCAGGCUAGAGUCUUGUAGAGGGGGUAGGAAUUUCAGGUGUAGCGGUGAAAUGCGUAGAGAUCUGAAGGAAUACCAGU
rnacentral:rRNA from 1 species